rnacentral:rRNA from 1 species
AUAUCAAUAAGCGGAGGAAAAGAAACUAACAAGGAUUCCCCUAGUAACUGCGAGUGAAGCGGGAACAGCUCAAAUUUUAAAUCUCCAAGGUCCCCUUGGCGAAUUGUAGUUUAAAGAAGUGUUUUCGGCGACGGUCUUGGUUCAAGUCCCUUGGAACAGGGUGUCAUAGAGGGUGAGAACCCCGUGAAACCUUGACUUGUUGCUAUGUGAUACACUUUCAAAGAGUCGGGUUGUUUGGGAUUGCAGCCCAAAAUGGGAGGUAAAUUUCUUCUAAAGCUAAAUAUUGGCGAGAGACCGAUAGCGCACAAGUA